CCACGAUGUUCCGUGCAUUGUCGUGGACACAUGCAUCCACUUUCCUGGAACCGCUUGCGCAUACAUCAGUGUUAU